rnacentral:misc_RNA from 1 species
GGCGGUGGUUUUGCCUUCAUGGCACCCAGUUCUAAACCUUUUGAUGAAUUAUGCUACGGCCUUGCCAGGGAACUCUCCGCCAUUAUCAUCUCUGUCAACUAUCGUUUGGCUCCAGAGCAUCGUUGGCCUUCUGAAUACGAAGAUGGUUUCGAUACCUUAAAAUUCAUCGACACCACAAAUAUUGAAGGCUUUUCAGGUAAGGCCAAUCUCAAGCAGUGUUUUAUUGCUGGAGAUAGCGCAGGAGGCAACGUGGUACAUCAUGUAGCACUAAAAGCAAGCGAACAUGAGUUUUCUAAUCUAAAACUUAUUGGAAACAUAUCAAUACAACCAUUUUUUGGAGGAGAAGAACGAACUGAAUCUGAGUUGAGAUUAACCCGAGCUCCAUUUGUUACUAUGGAGCGUGCAGAUUGGAUGUGGAAGGCAUUCUUGCCGCAGGGUUCAAACCGGGACCAUCCGGCGGCGAAUGUUUUUGGGCCUAAUUCAGUUGAUAUUUUAGGAGUUAACUUUCCAGCAACGAUCAUUUUUGUUGGAGGAUUUGAUCCUUUGCAGGACUGGCAAAAGAGAUACUAUGAAGGGUUAAAGAAAUAUGGAAAGGAAGCUUAUUUGGUUGAGUUUCCCAAUGCCCCACACUCAUUUUAUGCUUUUCCUGAGCUGCCUGAAUUUUUUUUGUUCAUAAAGGAAACGAAGGAUUUUAUGCAAAAGCAAUUAUCAUCUAAUAUAUGACGCAACCUUGUUUGUUUAUGGGGUUCCUUGAAGGAAAUUCUGGUUGUUGAAUUAUAAUUCUUGGGUCUUGAGCUUCGGCCACCCCAGGGGCUUAAUAGGAUUUCUUCAGAUUUGUAUGAUUUUUGCUUGAAAUUUAAAGUAGCUUACUAUCGAU